AUUGAACGCUGGCGGCAGGCCUAACACAUGCAAGUCGAGCGAGCGGCGGACGGGUGAGUAAUGCCUGGGAAUUGCCCAGUCGAGGGGGAUAACAGUUGGAAACGACUGCUAAUACCGCAUACGAUUGGAUUGCCCAGGUGGGAUUAGCUAGUUGGUGAGGUAAUGGCUCACAAAGGCGACGAUCCCUAGCUGGUCUGAGAGGAUGGUCAGCCCAACUGGAACGGAGAAACGGCCCAGACCCCUACGGAGGGCAGCAUGGGGGAAUAUGGGAAAAUGGGGGAAAUCCUGAUGCAGCCAUGCGGCGUGUGGGAAGAAGGCCUUCGGGUUGUAAAGCCCUUUCAGCGGGGAGGCGUUACUCGCAGAAGAAGCACCGGCUAACUCCGUGCCAGCAGCCGCGGUAAUAC
rnacentral:rRNA from 1 species